AAGAGACAGCAGCAGCCGCGGGAAUACGUAGGUGGCAAGCGUUGUCCGGGAUUAUUGGGCGUAAAGGGCUCGCAGGCGGUUUCUUAAGUCUGAUGUGAAAGCCCCCGGCUCAACCGGGGAGGGUCAUUGGAAACUGGGAAACUUGAGUGCAGAAGAGGAGAGUGGAAUUCCACGUGUAGCGGUGAAAUGCGUAGAGAUGUGGAGGAACACCAGUGGCGAAGGCGACUCUCUGGUCUGUAACUGACGCUGAGGAGCGAAAGCGUGGGGAGCGAACAGGAUUAGAUACCCCGGUAGUCCCUGUCUCUUAUAC
rnacentral:rRNA from 1 species